rnacentral:rRNA from 1 species
AGAGACAGCAGUAGCCGCGGGAAUACGUAGGUCCCGAGCGUUGUCCGGAUUUAUUGGGCGUAAAGCGAGCGCAGGCGGUUAGAUAAGUCUGAAGUUAAAGGCUGUGGCUUAACCAUAGUACGCUUUGGAAACUGUUUAACUUGAGUGCAGAAGGGGAGAGUGGAAUUCCAUGUGUAGCGGUGAAAUGCGUAGAUAUAUGGAGGAACACCGGUGGCGAAAGCGGCUCUCUGGUCUGUAACUGACGCUGAGGCUCGAAAGCGUGGGGAGCAAACAGGAUUAGAUACCCCCGUAGUCCCUGUCUCUUAUACC